rnacentral:rRNA from 1 species
GUGGGGAAUCUUGCACAAUGGGGGCAACCCUGAUGCAGCGACGCCGCGUGAGCGAUGAAGCCCUUUGGGGCGUAAAGCUCUUUCGACCGGAACGAUAAUGACGGUACCGGGAGGAGAAGCUGCGGCUAACUACGUGCCAGCAGCCGCGGUAAUACGUAGGCAGCAAGCGUUGUUCGGAGUUACUGGGCGUAAAGAGUGCGUAGGCGGUUUUCUAAGUUCGGUGUGAAAUCUCCCGGCUUAACUGGGAGGGUGCGCCGAAGACUGGGAAGCUGGAGUGUGGGAAAGGCAGGUGGAAUUCCUGGUGUAGCGGUGAAAUGCGUAGAUAUCAGGAGGAACACCUGCGGUGUAGACGGCUUGCUAGACCAUAACUGACGCUGAGGCACGAAAGCGUGGGUAGCAAACA